rnacentral:ribozyme from 1 species
ACAGCCCGCAAGGCCGACGCAUAACGCGCCGCCGGUGCAAGCCCGGCCCCGUUCCCACCAGGACGGGGGCGCUCAUGGGUCAAAA